GACGAACGCUGGCGGCGUGCCUAAUACAUGCAAGUCGAGCGAAGUUUUUCUGGUGCUUGCACCGGAAAAACUUAGCGGCGAACGGGUGAGUAACACGUAAAGAACCUGCCUCAUAGACUGGGACAACUAUUGGAAACGAUAGCUAAUACCGGAUAACAGCAUUAACUGCAUGGUUGAUGUUUAAAAGUUGGUUUUGCUAACACUAUGAGAUGGCUUUGCGGUGCACUAGCUAGUUGGUGGGGUAAAGGCCUACCAAGGCGACGAUGCAUAGCCGACCUGAGAGGGUGAUCGGCCACACUGGGACUGAGACACGGCCCAGACUCCUACGGGAGGCAGCAGUAGGGAAUCUUCCGCAAUGGGCGAAAGCCUGACGGAGCAACGCCGCGUGAGUGAAGAAGGAUUUCGGUUCGUAAAGCUCUGUUGUUAGGGAAGAAUGAUUGUGUAGUAACUAUACACAGUAGAGACGGUACCUAACCAGAAAGCCACGGCUAACUACGUG
rnacentral:rRNA from 1 species